UACGUAGGGUGCAAGCGUUGUCCGGAAUUAUUGGGCGUAAAGAGCUCGUAGGCGGACUGUCACGUCUGCUGUGAAAAGCUAGGGCUUAACCCUGGCCUUGCAGUGGAUACGGGCAGACUAGAGGUAGGUAGGGGAGAAUGGAAUUCCCGGUGUAGCGGUGAAAUGCGCAGAUAUCGGGAGGAACACCGGUGGCGAAGGCGGUUCUCUGGGCCUUACCUGACGCUGAGGAGCGAAAGCGUGGGGAGCGAACAGG
rnacentral:rRNA from 1 species